AGGAGAGUGCAAGAAACAAUUGGGAACAAACCGUGGAGGAGAUUGAUGCAGUCGGAGAUAGCGAGUCCAAAACGUAGAUUGCAGACAACAGACAUUAUAUAACGAAGGCAGAUUCAGAGAAAUUCAGGUCACUCUUCGACAAAAUUGAAUGCCUACAUCAACUGGGUUGAAAUGAGAUUGUAAGCAGUUGGAAACUAAGAAGAUUUAUCAGAUCAUUGGUGCCAGUGAGUAAAUGACUAUUUUACCCUUUCAGCAACUCCUAGUGUGGUGUCGUGUCCAACAUGGGUUUUGGGAGUUGGGAAAGAUACAAUCACCUUUUGGAGGAAAAACAUAUGUUAUACUUUUGGAUAGAACCGUACUCACAGAUAGCUGCCACUCUUAUGAGCCUGUUACAUGCGAUCAAGAAAAAUUCGUUCAACCCAGAAAAGAUAAGAACCUUUUAUGAAUACAACAACUUAAGAAGCAAACCCUUAGUUGAGCUUUUCUUCUCUUAUGAUUUUUGCUACUUUGUUUAGUUUAGUGAUUGGUAUCUUAGAGAAGCUGGUAAAGUAAAGACCGGCUCUUUCGAAAGUAAUGCAAGCAAUAAUCUAUUUUCCGUGAUUAUAUCUUAGCAGGUUAGUGUCUUCUCUUAAAUGAGCUAAUGAAGGGCAAAAUUUACAUUUGUUUGUAUUGGAUCGUACAUACUUUUUUUUAUUACCGGUGCGAUUUGUUGCUGAUAAAGAUAUAUUAGAACACAUUUGUUAUGAUUAUGCUGAUACUCAAAUGAUGUAGUUGUUGACACCAUCGGUAGAAGAAACAUUUGUAAUACAAAACCAACAAGUAAGAUCACUUGGAAGCAAAUUCUAGCCUUA